rnacentral:rRNA from 1 species
GACGAACGCUGGCGGCGUGCUUAACACAUGCAAGUCGAACGGAAAGGCCCUGCUUUUGUGGGGUGCUCGAGUGGCGAACGGGUGAGUAACACGUGAGUAACCUGCCCUUGACUUGGGGAUAACUUCAGGAAACUGGGGCUAAUACCGGAUAGGAGCGCCUGCUGCAUGGUGGGGGUUGGAAAGUUUCGGCGGUUGGGGAUGGACUCAGGGCUUAUCAGCUUGUUGGUGGGGUAGUGGCUUACCAAGGCGUUGAUGGGUAGCCGGUAGGGGAGGGUGACCGGCGACCUUGGGGCUGAGACACGCCCCAUGCUACUACGGGAGGCAGCAGUGGGGAAUGUUGGACAGUGGGGGCAAACCUUGCACAGCGAUGCCGCGUGCGGGAAGAAGGCCCUCGGGUUGGAAACCGCUUUUUCUCGUUAAGAACCGCUUUGGGCUGAUACCCCGCGGGGAUGACGGUACCGGAAGAAGAAGCACCGGCUAACUACGUG